rnacentral:siRNA from 1 species
CAUGCUUAAGUGUAAUGUACAUG